CAAGGAAUUUUCCGCAAUGGGCGAAAGCCUGACGGAGCAACGCCGCGUGGGGGAUGACGCUUUUCGGAGUGUAAACCCCUUUUCUCAGGGACGAAGACAAUGACGGUACCUGAGGAAUAAGGACCGGCUAACUACGUGCCAGCAGCCGCGGUAAUACGUAGGGUCCGAGCGUUGUCCGGAGUUACUGGGCGUAAAGCGCGCGCAGGCGGUUCGGUAAGACUGGCGUGAAAGCCCCCGGCUCAACCGGGGAGGGUCGUUGGUGACUGCCGGACUUGAAGACAGCAGGGGCAGGUGGAAUUCCCGGUGUAGUGGUGAAAUGCGUAGAGAUCGGGAGGAACACCCGUGGCGAAGGCGGCCUGCUGGGCUGAUCUUGACGCUGAGGCGCGAAGGCGUGGGGAGCGAACGGG
rnacentral:rRNA from 1 species